CCUAGCUAAAAUAGCAGCUAUUGAGGAUGGUAUGCCCCCCAGUAGUUCAAAACCCGAGUAUCAACCGCAGACUUGGCAUGUAUGUCUUUGCCACUCAACAACAAAAAAGAAGAAUCAGAAGAUGAAGACGGAAGAGCCCCCCCUCCCACCUCCC